rnacentral:lncRNA from 1 species
GUGGAUUGGGAAACAAGUUUUGCAACUUAUAUUAAUCCCUUUCCACUUUGCGGGUGCGAGUGCUGCCUUGUAGCGGCAUUAGCCUACUCUUUUUCGAAAUCUACAAGGGUGUCUUUAACGUGCAAGAGAUAUGGCUCUCUCUUAACACGGGCCAGCCAUUUAUCGUCCUCUUCCGACGGACUAUCAUCGUUUCCUCAAGACCAUACUCGCAAAUGGUGUCAAGGGAGAGCCGAAAAUUGAGUUUCUGAAAUUUUCAUCCCGAACG